UACGUAGGGUGCAAGCGUUAAUCGGAAUUACUGGGCGUAAAGCGUGCGCAGGCGGUUUUGUAAGUCUGUCGUGAAAGCCCCGGGCUCAACCUGGGAAUUGCGAUGGAGACUGCAAGGCUUGAAUCUGGCAGAGGGGGGUAGAAUUCCACGUGUAGCAGUGAAAAUGCGUAGAGAUGUGGAGGAACACCGAUGGCGAAGGCAGCCCCCUGGGUCAAGAUUGACGCUCAUGCACGAAAAGCGUGGGGGAGCAAAACAGGAUUAGAUACCCCCGUAGUCC
rnacentral:rRNA from 1 species